GCCGGUGUAGCUCAGUUGGUCAGAGCGGUUGAUUCGUAAUCAACAGGUCGGAGGUUCAAAUCCUCUCACCGGCUCCA
rnacentral:tRNA from 1 species